rfam:Lachancea dasiensis CBS 10888 genome assembly, chromosome: H
AAUGUUAUCGCAAUAGUAAUUGAACUUAGUACGAGAGGAACAGUUCAUUCGGAUAAUUGGUUUUUGCGGCUGUCUGAUCAGGCAUUGCCGCGAAGCUACCAUCCGCUGGAUUAUGGCUGAACGCCUCUAAGUCAGAAUCCAUGCUAGAAAGCGAUGAUUCCUUCCCUCACACAUUAUAGAUGGAUACGAAUAAGGCACUUUUAGUGUCGCUGAACCAUAGCAGACUGGCAACGGUGUCCUUAGCGGAAAGGCUUUGGGCGCUUGCCGGUGAAUUGCAAUGUCAUUUUGCGUGAGGAUAAAUCAUUUGUAUACGACUUAAAUGUACAACAGGGUAUUGUAAGCAGUAGAGUAGCCUUGUUGUUACGAUCUGCUGAGAUUAAGCCUUCGUUGUCUGAUUU